GUAGGUGGCAAGCGUUGUCCGGAAUUAUUGGGCGUAAAGCGCGCGCAGGCGGUCCUUUAAGUCUGAUGUGAAAGCCCACGGCUCAACCGUGGAGGGUCAUUGGAAACUGGGGGACUUGAGUACAGAAGAGGAAAGCGGAAUUCCAAGUGUAGCGGUGAAAUGCGUAGAGAUUCGGAGGAACACCAGUGGCGAAGGCGGCUUUCUGGUCUGUAACUGACGCUGAGGCGCGAAAGCGUGGGGAGCAAACAGGAUUAGAUACCCUGGUAGUCCACGCCGUAAACGAUGAGUGCUAAGUGUUAGGGGGUUUCCCGCCCCCUUAGUGCUGCAGCUAACGCAUUAAGCACUCCGCCUGGGGAGUACGGCCGCAAGGCUG
rnacentral:rRNA from 1 species